rnacentral:tRNA from 1 species
GCGCGAUUAGCUCAGUGGUAGAGCGUUUCAUUGACAUUGAAAAGGUCGCUGGUUCGAUCCCAGCAUCGCGCA